rnacentral:rRNA from 1 species
GACGAACGCUGGCGGCGUGCCUAAUACAUGCAAGUUGAGCGCUGAAGGUUGGUACUUGUACCGACUGGCUGAGCAGCGAACGGGUGAGUAACGCAUGGGGAAUCUGCCUUUGAGCGGGGGACAACAUUUGGAAACGAAUGCUAAUACCGCAUAAAAACUUUAAACACAAGUUUUAAGUUUGAAAGAUGCAAUUGCAUCACUCAAAGAUGAUCCCGCGUUGUAUUAGCUAGUUGGUGAGGUAAAGGCUCACCAAGGCGAUGAUACAUAGCCGACCUGAGAGGGUGAUCGGCCACAUUGGGACUGAGACACGGCCCAAACUCCUACGGGAGGCAGCAGUAGGGAAUCUUCGGCAAUGGACGAAAGUCUGACCGAGCAACGCCGCGUGAGUGAAGAAGGUUUUCGGAUCGUAAAACUCUGUUGGUAGAGAAGAACGUUGGUGAGAGUGGAAAGCUCAUCAAGUGACGGUAACUACCCAGAAAGGGACGGCUAACUACGUG